CGAGACCUCAGGUCAGGCGGGGUUACCCGCUGAGUUUAAGCAUAUCAAUAAGCGGAGGAAAAGAAACUAACA
rnacentral:rRNA from 1 species